UUUUCAAACUUUAAAGGCAGAAGCAACUGAUUAAGUUAACCCUCUCUUCUUUCAGAAGCUCUCCAAUUAAGCUUGAAUUUGGAGGAUCAAUGGCCGACGUUCGAACACAUUCUCACCAGCUUCAAGUGCACCCUCAACGCCAGCAUGAAGGAGGCAUCAAAGUCCUUUAUCCUCAGAGUGGCCCUUCUUCCACUCAGGUCCUUUUUAAAUUCCUCCUUCGAAUCUCAUUUAUGCAUAUGAAUUUGGUUUUCACAUGAGGCACGUGCAUGCAGGUGCUAGCUGUGUUUGUCGGUGUACCGGUAGGAGGGACGCUGCUGACUAUAGCCGGUUUAACAUUAGCCGGUUCGGUUAUUGGACUAAUGCUAGCAUUCCCGUUGUUCCUCAUCUUCAGUCCGGUUAUUGUACCAGCAGCCUUUGUGAUCGGUCUAGCUAUGACCGGAUUCCUGGCGUCAGGGGCCAUAGGUCUCACCGGACUAUCAUCCAUGUCGUGGGUACUCAACUACAUCCGCUGGGCCGGAGAGCAUAUUCCGGAGGAGCUUGAGGAAGCGAAGCAGCGUUUGGCUGACAUGGCUGAGUAUGUGGGACAGAGGACUAAAGAUGCUGGACAAACCAUAGAAGACAAAGCUCACGAUGUCCGAGAGACCAAGACUUUUGAUGUCAGAGACCGAGACACCACCAAGGGUACUCAUAAUGUCCGAGACACCAAGACUCACGAGGUCCGAGUGGCAUCCACAUAAAGCGUGUGUUCUGAGUUAACCAUGGUGAAUAAAAAAGAUCGACUGCUAGUUCUUGAUGUUGGUGUGUUUUGAGUGUUUGUAUUUGCUUGUAAG
rnacentral:lncRNA from 1 species